rnacentral:ncRNA from 1 species
AUCGACCGGUCGGACCCGUAUGCCUGGCGGCCCACGAGCCCGACCUACAAGUGGAGGCUUUCGAACUCCCACCUGACCGCCCCCCGGGCGGCGGGUCACCGGUCAGGCGGUCCCGUCCAUCCGACGGCAUCCGCCCGAAUGUGCGCCCCGCGGUCACCGCGGCGGUCGCUCCGGUAGUUCGAGGAGCCCCCGCCUGUGAUCGUCCGGGGCAUUUUUU